rnacentral:tRNA from 1 species
GGGCAGUUAGCUCAGCUGGUUAGAGUGUCUGCCUUACACGCAGAAGGUCGCUGGUUCGACUCCAGCACUGCCCA